rnacentral:tRNA from 1 species
AAUUAUUUGGCCGAGAAUUAGGCAGAUAUUUUGAAAGUAUCCCUACAGAGGUUUAAAUCCUCUAAUAAUUU